rnacentral:tRNA from 4 species
GUUCUUGAAAGAUAAUAGCAAUCUAUUGGUCUUAGGAACCAAAAACUCUUGGUGCAACUCCAAGCAAGAACU